rnacentral:rRNA from 1 species
CACGUAGGGGGCAAGCGUUGUCCGGAUUUAUUGGGCGUAAAGAGCUCGUAGGCGGUUCGGUAAGUCGGGUGUGAAACCUCCAGGCUCAACCUGGAGACGCCACCCGAUACUGCUGUGACUAGAGUCCGGUAGGGGAGCGUGGAAUUCCUGGUGUAGUGGUGAAAUGCGUAGAUAUCGGGAGGAACACCAGUGGCGAAGGCGACUAUCUGGGUUGUAACUGACGCUGAGGCGCGAAGGCUAGGGGAGCGAACAGG